rnacentral:rRNA from 1 species
GUGGGGAAUAUUGGACAAUGGGCGAAAGCCUGAUCCAGCCAUGCCGCGUGUGUGAAGAAGGUCUUCGGAUUGUAAAGCACUUUAAGUUGGGAGGAAGGGCAGUAAGUUAAUACCUUGCUGUUUUGACGUUACCAACAGAAUAAGCACCGGCUAACUUCGUGCCAGCGGCCGCGGUAAUACGAAGGGUGCAAGCGUUAAUCGGAAUUACUGGGCGUAAAGCGCGCGUAGGUGGUUUUGUAAGUUGGAGGUGAAAUCCCCGGGCUCAACCUGGGAACUGCCUCAAAAACUGCAUGACUAGAGUACGGUAGAGGGUAGUGGAAUUUCCUGUGUAGCGGUGAAAUGCGUAGAUAUAGGAAGGAACACCAGUGGCGAAGGCGACUACCUGGACUGAUACUGACACUGAGGUGCGAAAGCGUGGGGAGCAAACAGGAUUAGAUACCCUAGUAGUCC